UACGUAGGGUGCGAGCGUUAAUCGGAAUUACUGGGCGUAAAGUGUGCGCAGGCGGCAAGGCAAGUCGAGUGUGAAAGCCCCGGGCUUAACUUGGGAAUUGCGCUCAAAACUACUUUGCUGGAGUGUGGCAGAGGAAGGUGGAAUUCCACGUGUAGCGGUGAAAUGCGUAGAGAUGUGGAGGAACACCAAUGGCGAAGGCAGCCUUCUGGGCCAACACUGACGCUCAUGCACGAAAGCGUGGGGAGCAAACAGG
rnacentral:rRNA from 1 species